GCGCCCGUAGCUCAGUUGGAAAGAGCGUCUGCCUUCUAAGCAGAGGGUCGGGGGUUCGAAUCCCUCCGGGCGCGCCA
rnacentral:tRNA from 1 species